UAAGGAAAAAUGAAGAAUUUUGGUUCUUCAUUCAACAGACGUUUCUGCUUUUGUUUAGUUUUGAGAGAAUUAUCUCUCAUAUUGCUCCUGCGCCGCAGUAGUUCGAGGAAGAAAAUCCUCAGCUCGUCGCAAGGCUGCAAAGAAGCUGCUCGUAGAAGUAGCCUUGUUCCUUGAAAACUAGAUAACAAAUGACAAGACAUCAUUGAAAUAAAGUAAGUUCUUUUUAAAAUUAACGUA
rnacentral:misc_RNA from 1 species